rnacentral:rRNA from 1 species
UACGUAGGAUUCGAGCGUUAUCCGGAUUUAUUGGGUUUAAAGGGUGCGUAGGUGGACUAAUAAGUCAGUGGUGAAAGCCCGCAGCUUAACUGCGGAACUGCCAUUGAUACUGUUAGUCUUGAGUACAGUUGAGGUGGGCGGAAUGUGUCAUGUAGCGGUGAAAUGCUUAGAUAUGACACAGAACACCGAUUGCGAAGGCAGCUCACUAAGCUGUAACUGACACUGAGGCACGAAAGCGUGGGGAGCAAACAGG